GCUCACUGUGUGUGGUUGGUGGCUGGUUGGAGUAGUUUCACCAGGAGACUCUGAGGCUGGGCGAGGCUGCACACCUGUUGUUAAUUAAUCAAUCAUCCCCACACACUCUCAGGUGGGGAUCUCCUACAUGGUAGCAUGGAUCACCGUAUGUGUAUGUUUAAUGUCCUCAAACUUUGCAAUUAACCGGUUUCACCACUAUCAGCAUCAUCUUCAUAAGCAGCAACGAACAUUGCUAAACUCACGAACUUAGGAACUGAGGCACGCGGUAGUAUUUACUAUUUUGCACAUAGUAUUUGGAGUUUUUCACUUGUGGAGGAAUGGACUUCAACUUCAUGAUUUGUGUGGACAAGGUCAGCGCUGGAGGGUCCUGGGACCACACAGCAGCGCAGGGCUCAGACACAAACAGCAGAGGUCACCCUGAACCAUGGCGCUCUACUUCCCUGCUGUACAAGGAAGAGGAGGAAGAAGCAUUGAGGAGGACAGGCAUAGAGCGAGAAGGAAAUGCACUUAGUUGUCGGGUCCAUCAGAAGGACAUUACUCGCUUCCUCCUUUUUUUUUUUUUUUAUACCUUAAGUGUCUUUGGCAGGAAGGAAUCUGAAUGCAUUACCGUGGCAUGUGGACCUCGAUCAAUGAAUUCUAUAGGUGAAAUAUGAGGAAUCUGUUGCGCUGGUGAAAAAGAUGUUGUUAUAAAUCACUAUCCAAAACUGUGUGUGUGUGUGUGUGUGUAUAUUUAUACACACGGGGGCCUAAAUC
ensembl:lncRNA